rnacentral:rRNA from 1 species
UACGUAGGGGGCGAGCGUUGUCCGGAAUUACUGGGCGUAAAGCGCACGUAGGCGGUUUUGUAAGUCUGGGGUCAAAGGCGACAGCUCAACUGUCGUAAGGCCUUAGAUACUAUAGAACUGGAGUGCCAGAGAGGAUGGCGGAAUUCCCGGUGUAGCGGUGAAAUGCGUAGAUAUCGGGAGGAAGGCCGGUGGCGAAGGCGGCCCCCUGGACAAAGACUGACGCUCAGGCACGAAAGCGUGGGGAGCAAACAGG